rnacentral:rRNA from 1 species
GAUGAACGCUGGCGGCGUGCCUAAUACAUGCAAGUCGAGCGAACAGAUGAGGAGUUUGCUCCUCUGACGUUAGCGGCGGACGGGUGAGUAACACGUGGAUAACCUACCUAUCAGACUGGGAUAACUUCGGGACACCGGCGCUAAUACCGGAUAAUAUAUUGAACCGCAUGGUUCAAUAGUGAAAGACGGUUUUGCUGUCACUUCUAGAUGGAUCCGCGCCGCAUUAGCUAGUUGGUAAGGUAACGGCUUACCAAGGCAACGAUGCGUAACCGACCUGCGAGGGUGAUCGGCCACACUGGAACUGAGACACGGUCCAGACUCCUACGGGAGGCAGCAGUAGGGAAUCUGCCGCAAUGGGCGAAAGCCUGACGGAGCAACGCCGCGUGAGUGAUGAAGGUCUUCGGAUCGUAAAACUCUGUUAUUAGGGAAGAACAAAUGUGUAAGUAACUAUGCACGUCUUGACGGUACCUAAUCAGAAAGCCACGGCUAACUACGUG